rnacentral:rRNA from 1 species
GUAGGCAUAAGUAACGAUAAUGCGGGCGAGAAACCCGCACACCGAAAGACUAAGGUUUCCUGAUCAACGCUAAUCGGAUCAGGGUUAGUCGGGACCUAAGGCGAAGCCGACAGGCGUAGUCGAUGGACAAUCGGUUAAUAUUCCGAUACUUGUUAUAACUGUGAUGGGGUGACGAAGCAGUGAAAAUCCCGCGUACUGACGGAAUAGUACGUUGAAGGCUGUAGGUAUACUAGGCGAUUGGAAAAUCCGCGCUUAGUGCUAAAGGCUGAUAGUACCGAAAGUCCUCGGAUGAUCGGAUAGUGGAUGUAAGCAUACUUCCAAGAAAAACCUCUAAACUUCAGGUUAUAACAACCCGUACCACAAACCGACACAGGUGGUCGAGGAGAGAAUCCAAAGGUGCUCGAGUGAAUCAUGGCUAAGGAACUAGGCAAAUUAACCCCGUAACUUCGGGAGAAGGGGUUCCCGAUAGCAAUAUCGGGACGCAGAGAAAUGGCCCAGGCGACUGUUUAUCAAAAACACAUGGCUUUGCAAAAUUUUAAGAUGAAGUAUAAGGCCUGACACCUGCCCGGUGCCGGAAGGUUAAGUGGAGAUGUUAUUCUGAGCAAUCGGGAGAAGCAUUCAAAUGAAGCCCCGGUAAACGGCGGCCGUAACUAUAACGGUCCUAAGGUAGCGAAAUUCCUUGUCGGGUAAGUUCCGACCUGCACGAAUGGUGUAACGAUCUGGGCGCUGUCUCAGCCAUGAGCUCGGUGAAAUUGUAGUUCCGGUGAAGAUGCCGGAUACCCGCAACGGGACGGAAAGACCCCGUGCACCUUCACUACAGCUUAACAUUGACUUUGGAUAAAUCAUGUGUAGGAUAGCCGGGAGACUAUGAAGCAGGGCCGCCAGGUCUUGUGGAGUCACCCUUGAAAUACCGGCCUUGAUUUAUUUGAAGCCUAAUCCCGCGAAUGCGGGAGACAAUGUUUGGUGGGUAGUUUGACUGGGGUGGUCGCCUCCAAAAGAGUAACGGAGGCUUUCAAAGGUGCCCUCAGCAUGAUUGGUAACCAUGCGUAGAGUGCAAUAGCAUAAGGGCGCUUGACUGCGAGACAUACAAGUCGAACAGGGUCGAAAGACGGAUAUAGUGAUCCGGUGGUUCCGCAUGGAAGGGCCAUCGCUCAAAGGAUAAAAGGUACGCCGGGGAUAACAGGCUGAUCACUCCCAAGAGCUCACAUCGACGGAGUGGUUUGGCACCUCGAUGUCGGCUCGUCAUAUCCUGGGGCUGGAGAAGGUCCCAAGGGUUCGGCUGUUCGCCGAUUAAAAUGGCACGCGAGCUGGGUUCAGAACGUCGCGAGACAGUUCGGUCCCUAUCUGUUGUGGGCGUUAGAAGUUUGAGAGGACCUGACUCUAGUACGAGAGGACCGAGUUGGACAAGCCUCUAGUGUACCUGUUGUGGCGCCAGCUGCAUCGCAGGGUAGCUACGCUUGGUUAAGAUAAGUGCUGAAAGCAUCUAAGCACGAAACUUGCCUCAAGAUGAGACUUCUUUUAAGGGUCGUAGCAGACGACUACGUUGAUAGGC